rnacentral:lncRNA from 8 species
AUGUUGAGAAAGCGGAGCUGUUUAACCGGUCUCUGCAAUUCACUAAACAAAAAGCAUGUGUGCCUUUUUCCUGAAGAUGCACUACAAAAACGCUAUAUUCGAAAAUCGUUUUUAAAGCCAUGGAACAAACUUGCUCAUCAAUUCAUUUCUGGACAUACGCCUGGCUGGACAGAAGACAGAGAUGGAGACUGGAAGGGACUAACUAAUGAGGUCACCAUCUCUCCCUAACUCAUACCUACUAUCACUGACUCUCAUACUCUCCUCCCUCCAUCCCUCCAUCCCUCUCUCCUCUCCUAUUUAGAUGGAGGGGGCUUUGGUGAACCCUGGGGAGCGGAGGUGAAGUCCUCAGAUAUUAGUCCCCAUUGUGGCCCGACUGGAAAUGCAUUGUGGGUGGAUUUGUCCAGUUUUAUGUAAAAGCAAUACUCUUUUCACCUGAACUAAUACAAGCUGUGGCUUAAGCCCCUUACUGCCAUAUGCUGCAUUUCUACCCUAAUCUCUCUGGCUUCAGCUCCGUCCCCACAUACCUCAGGGCACUCACUGAUAAAGCCUUAACUCUAUACUACUCUACAGUUCCCUUUCCUUCUCUAGCACUCCUCUCUCUCUCUCUCUCUCUCUCUCUCUCUCUCUCUCUCUCUCUCUCUCUCUCUCUCUCUUAUUCUUCAGGACACCGGUGAAGCAGCCUAGCAAAAAAUUCAAGUGAUCAAGAGAUUUAGGUGGAAGAGAGGAAAAUCACUUCCUGAAUCCCAUCUCAAAGAGAAGAUGAGAAAGAGUGAGGGAAUAAGAAAAAAAGGAGAGAGGGGGGGGGGGAAGAGGAGGAUGAAGGGAAUUCUCAACUUAGGAGUGUAAAGCAAUCCCAACAUGAAGUCACACACCGCACGUACAUUAUAACUGCAUUCUGUUGCCUGACUGAGCGAGGAGAUUGAGCGUCAGGACAGAUAAAAAAGGAACGUUAUGUUCAGAGUUUUUUAAAAAACACACAAAGGAAUCUGCUGUAGACAGUAAGCUGGUAUGUGAGUGGUGAAGUCGAGCAAAGUGAAAAAGGAGAAAAGUGAAAGCGUCCUCUAUCCCCCUUUCCUCUCUCUUUCUUAUUCUCCCUCUCUUCUUCUCUGAUCCUCUACUUUUUACUUCUUCUUUAUCUUGUAGACACGUCUCCUCUGUCUUGUUCCACGCUCCUUUGAGUUCUUGCCCUGGAACUAUUUAUCAGGUAGGGUGGGGGUCAGCGGGGCAGUAUUUAAGGGUUCACACAGACUUCCUUUCCUCCCAGAGAGUCCAAUAUCCUCCUCCUUCACCCUGUCCUUGUCUCUUCCCUCCUCUCCUCUCUUCACCCCACCUGCUCUCCUCUCCUCUCUUUAUCUCUCUUCUUGUCCUUGUGCUUGUCCUCCUCUCUCCUGUUCUCUCUGUUCCUAAGCCUCACAUUCAGAGUCUAAGUCCAUCCUACUUCUAACUACUUUCUUGUGCUUGACUUUCCUUGAAGGACAUCCCCUUGCUGCAUGCCUUGCACCUUAAAUCUAUUCCUCUCCUUUGCCCUUCCCGUUCUACCUACGCUCCUCCAUCCUUUCUUUCGCCAUCACCCAAUCCAACUUUUAUUUUCCCCUUCUGCUACUUCAUUCACCUCCAGAGGACUUCCACUCUCUGUGGUAGGCCCUGGGGUGGUGUAUGGGAGAGUCAGGUGAGACCUACCAAUCUUGGGGGACUUGGUGUUAGGCCUAACAAGAGGGCCUUAAAUUUAUACAGUACAUAAACACAUGCGGUACACAGGUACACACACGCACAGAGACACACACAAAAUGAAGUAUUGAUACAGGCACACGGUGUUGUUUUGUCAGCUCAGCAGGAGCAGCCUAGGAGGGGAGGAGGAGAGGGUAGCACUACCCGGGAUCAGAAAACUUCUAUCAGGAGAUAAAAGAAGGAGAACAACACCUUGGACAAGAUAGGCCCAUACAUUUCAGCCAGGGGAGUAAUCUACAACAGUUAUCAAAGUAUCCUCCCAAAUAUCUCCUCCAGCUUCUCCAUUACCCCCUCACCAC